UUUAAAUGUAGUUGUAAAUUUUUUAUCCAACGUUUGAUCGUCUAUCUUAUUUAAAAUUGUUUUAUGAUUAGUAUUUUUGUUGUUAUUAGAUGAUAAAGUACGAAUAGUACUUUAUGCGUGAUUUUUUAAAAAAAUUAUAAUUUUUAAAUAAAACAUAUGGUUAAACAUUGGAUAAAAAGCUAAAGCUGUAUUUAAA
rnacentral:pre_miRNA from 1 species